rnacentral:rRNA from 1 species
AGUGAACGCUGGCGGUAGGCCUAACACAUGCAAGUCGAACGGCGGCACAGUAAGAGCUUGCUCUUACGGGUGGCGAGUGGCGGACGGGUGAGGAAUACAUCGGAAUCUACUUUUUCGUGGGGGAUAACGUAGGGAAACUUACGCUAAUACCGCAUACGACCUACGGGUGAAAGCAGGGGAUCUUCGGACCUUGCGCGAUUGAAUGAGCCGAUGUCGGAUUAGCUAGUUGGCGGGGUAAAGGCCCACCAAGGCGACGAUCCGUAGCUGAUCUGAGAGGAUGAUCAGCCACACUGGAACUGAGACACGGUCCAGACUCCGACGGGAGGCAGCAGUGGGGAAUAUUGGACAAUGGGCGCAAGCCUGAUCCAGCCAUACCGCGUGGGUGAAGAAGGCCUGCGGGUUGUAAAGCCCUUUUGUUGGGAAAGAAAAGCAGCAGGUUAAGACCCCGCUGUUCUGACGGUACCCAAAGAAUAAGCACCGGCUAACUUCGU